UACAGAGGUCCCAAGCGUUGUUCGGAUUCACUGGGCGUAAAGGGUGCGUAGGUGGCCUGUUAAGUUUGAUGUGAAAGCUCAGGGCUCAACCCUGAAAUGGCAUUGAAUACUAGCGUGCUGGAGGUUUGGAGGGGGGACUGGAAUUCUUGGUGUAGCAGUGAAAUGCGUAGAUAUCAAGAGGAACACCAGUGGCGAAGGCGAGUCCCUGGACAACACCUGACACUGAGGCACGAAAGCCGGGGGAGCAAACAGG
rnacentral:rRNA from 1 species